rnacentral:rRNA from 1 species
UACGUAGGGGGCAAGCGUUGUCCGGAUUUAUUGGGCGUAAAGAGCGUGUAGGCGGCUUUACAGGUCCGUUGUGAAAACUCGAGGCUCAACCUCGAGAGGUCGGUGGAAACCGUCUGGCUAGAGUCCGGAAGAGGAGAGUGGAAUUCCCGGUGUAGCGGUGAAAUGCGCAGAUAUCGGGAAGAACACCCGUGGCGAAGGCAGCUCUCUGGGACGGUACUGACGCUGAGACGCGAAAGCGUGGGGAGCGAACAGG